GACGAACGCUGGCGGCGUGCCUAACACAUGCAAGUCGAGCGGGGUUGAAGCGAGGGGUAACUCGAGUUUCUACCUAGCGGCGGACGGGUGAGUAACGCGUGGGCAACCUGCCUCAAGGACUGGGAUAACAGCUCGAAAGGGCUGCUAAUACCGGAUAAGCCUAUGGCCUCGCAUGGGGCCAUGAGCAAAGGGGAAACCCGCCUUGAGAUGGGCCCGCGUCCCAUCAGCUAGUUGGUGAGGUGAAGGCUCACCAAGGCGACGACGGGUAGCCGGCCUGAGAGGGUGACCGGCCACACUGGGACUGAGACACGGCCCAGACUCCUACGGGGGGCAGCAGUGGGGAAUCUUGCACAAUGGGCGAAAGCCUGAUGCAGCGACGCCGCGUGAGCGAAGAAGGCCUCGGUUGUAAGCUCUGUCUGGAGGGACGAAGGAAGUGACGGUACCUCCGGAGGAAGCCACGGCUAACUACGUGCCAGCAGCCGCGGUAACUGUAGUCGU
rnacentral:rRNA from 1 species